GUGUGUGUGUCAUUUGACCCGUACUGGAUGUACUUGGGAGGAGUUUCGUCUUGCUGUUGUUGAGUGCAGACAUGAUUCUCUGUACUGAUGUAAGAGGCAGAAAUAAAUGAUGUAAAUAGUUUUCUGUCUGCUUCUUUCCCCUCCAUGGGGGACACCAAAGGGGAGAGAGGAAGAACGGUGUGUUCCUCUCAUACAUCUGAGAAGAAUCGCCGGACCUCGCCUGCUUAUCAGCAGAGUGGAGACGCGGGGAGGUCGACAGGAAUAUCUGCCGGUGCCUACGCUGUGGCACAUUCCUCUGACCCAGGCAGAAUUCCAACAGUGGCAGCCUUCGGAUGGUUGCGAUUCAUCGGACAUCUGCAUGAGAGGCUGGUGGAUUGUCCUCCUCUGCUCCAAGGAGGAAGAGAAGCGUCUGAAAGAAGCCAGAGGCUCCACAGACAGCUGAUGGAAAGAAGAGGUGUUUUCCAGAGCAACAAAGUUCAAGGUAUGCUGCAUUUCGGGCUAAAAGUGUGAACGCAGGAAGAUUAAUUCCCUGGUUCACGGAGCUGCGUUUCAAAGAAAACAAGAGCUCCGGAAGAAGAGGCCUGCAGCUUGAAGGCUGAAGCCUGCAUUCCACAAAUUUUUGUGGUAGAUAAGACGUCCUAUUGAAAUGCAUUGUUGCUAGGUAACGGUCCUGGAAAGUUACUGGCAAAGGGGCUGGACUCUGAGUGUAAGCCUGGGAAAGCGAAACAAAACCAGAGAAUGUUUUGGCUACAAGGUUUACGAGCUCUUGGAAGGGACUUUUCAAUAGCAGCCUGCGUUUAGCUGCCAGGUGCAAAGAGCGUAAACAAUUUGCAGUUUGCUGCGUGAGAAAAGAAAAAAACAACUGUUGGAUUUUACAGUUUGUUUGACAUUGUGAGCUGGAGGCUUGGCUUCAAGAUGGAUGCCAAGAAAGGGGAGGUUUGCCUUGCCCACCUCCCUUAACCAAUGACAAUUAUUCAUCUUGGUCUGUAAAGAUGAAGGCCCUGCUGCAGAAUCAGAGGCUUUUUGAUGUAAUUGAAAACCCCAUCCCUGCAGCACCAACCAGAGGUUGGGAGUCACAGAAUGUAAGGGCCAGGACUGCUAUAAUUCUGUGUGUCUCAGAUGAUCAGUUGGUGCAUGUUCAGCAUUUAGAAAAUGCGAAAGAGGUAUGGGACACGCUUGCGUACAACGCAUCAGAGAGAUGCUGGUUCUUCAGCGUUGCUGUAUUUUGAGAAAUUGACCAAUCUGAGACUUGCGCCUGAUGGAGAUGUUCAAGCGCACCUGACAGAAAUGAAGUUUCUGCGUCAACAGAUGGUGGAACGCAAUUUCCGUCUUCAGGAGGAAGUGUUUUGCUUCAUGAUGAUAAACAGCCUUAGCCGCACCUACAAGGUUGUUGCCAGUCAGCUUGGUUCCCUACCGGCCGCGCAGCUGACCGCGGAGAGAGUUUGUGCUGUGGUCCUGAAUGAACACGACAGACUUGCUGCACUGGAAGAAAAAGACAGGGGGAGGGAAGAACAGAGUUCUAAUUCCCCCACUGCUGAUGCUACUGGGGAGCAUGGUGUAGCAUUGAGUGCUGUCCGAUGCUACAAUUGUGGACAGACUGGGCAUCUACAGCGAAACUGUAAGAAGCCGCGCCAGUCAAGAGGAGCAAAGAGCAGCUCUACGAAGCCUCAGGCGUCAGGCAAAAGCCGUUCCAAGUGCCAGGUGAAACCUGCAAAGGCUAUGAUGGCGAAAGGAACCACGCCAGAUGUUGGCAACUCGUUCAUAAUUGACACGGGCGCAACGGUUCACAUGUGCCCGCACAGAGGACUGUUUUCGACGUUGAAGAAGCAAAGCUUCACUGUGAAACAGGCCAACGGUCAGGAGUUGGAAGCAACUGGAAUUGGGACUGUGUAUCUUGAAAGUCUGAACUUGACUAUAAGUGAUGUUUACCUGGUUCCAGAACUGAGAUUUAAUCUGCUGAGCGUGUCGCAGAUUGCAAAGAAAGGACUGAAACUGUCCUAUGAUGCUAAAAGCUGCAAGAUCUACAAAGAUGGAGAACUGUUUCUUACUGCCAAAGAGAAAGAUGGACUGUAUUUGUUGACUUUUGAUCAAAGUGAUUACAUGAAAUGUAAUUCUUCUGUUUCUAACGAAAUCUCUCUUGCAGGAGUGACCAGUGUGAGCACCAGGAAGGUGACUAAGACCAAGAAGGUCAACAGAGCAUUUCAGCGGGUGUAUGCUGAUGUGAUUGGUCCUCUAGAACCAUCUAGGGGCGGUACAAAAUAUUACCUUUUGUGUGUGGAUUGUUUCACUAAUUAUUCUUGGGUUUAUAUGAUGGAGAAACCGCAAGAAACUUUAGAAAAGUUUCAGGAGUUUUGUGACAAGGUUAAAAGUAUGCAUGAUGCUAACAUUGAUUGUCUUUUCACAGAUGAGAAGCAAAUUUUUCUGUUGCAGAAGUUUCAGAAGUUCCUGGAUGGAAAGGGAUAGACCACAAAGUUGCAGUUUCGCAAGAAGCGUGGAACAGGGGGUCUGUGUAAGAGUGAACAAAGAAUUGCAAAAGGGGAUGAAUGCGCAAUUGCUGAGUUCACAUUUGCCACAUGAAUAUUGGGCCGAAUCGCUAGCGUCCUAUCUUCAUGUGUGGUUGAGAAAAGUCUCAACAGAGUUGGGAUGUUCUCCUUUUGAGAAGCUGUUCAAUAGAAAACCUUCUGUUGCCUAUUUUAAGGUUUUCGGGUCUCAUGUGAGAACAGAAGCUCCAGGUGGUGUAAAGAAUGCCAGAGGCAUUUUUGUGGGUUAUGAAAAAGGUCUCUACAGAGUAAUUUUGUCUGAAUCUGGUCAGGUGAUUCUCACAAAGUUCCUAGAGAGUGCUCCAAAGCAAGAGCGGAUAGUACAGACAUUUCCCACAGGAAACGAUUCUGAUGAUGAUGAUGAUGAGUUUGAUCUUAUUGAGUUCAGUAGUACUGAUGAUGACAGUGAGAGCUCAGAGAGUUCAGUUGUAACAGUCAUUGAGAGGAAAUCUCACACAAUGGAUAGACCUUCACAGGUGAAGGAAGAACCACUGAUUGCUACUGGUUCUCAACAGAGUCCAAAGGUUGAACCAGUGAGCACAGAGGAUCAGAACCUCAUACGUAGGUCUGAGAGAGCAACGAAGGGUGUACCACCCAAGAGGUAUUCAAAGGAGUUUGCUAACCUUGCAUAUGUUGCUAUUGUAAACGACCAAGGACAGAUUGAAGCUGUGUCUGAGUCAGAGACAAAGGCACAACAGAGAGUUGUUAACCAAGGUAAUGCGAAGUCACACAACCAGAGAGGUACAUUGGUUAAACCAGUGGCGGGUAGUUCCAAGGGUGGAACUGAAACAACAGGGGAAUGUUAUAAAUAUAACAACUGUUUGUUUUCUUCUCUGGAUGACGCUUUGCUCGCAGCACACAUUGAUACUUUAGGGGGAGUAUGUUACCAUAAAGCACCAAUGCUGCAGCAAGCAAAGGCUCUAGCAGCUCAGCCAGCUGCUUGUGGCUGGAAAGCCAGACAGGAUGUUUGUGACUGUUGCCAUGGGAACAAAGGGGCAGUCCAUUCUGUACUGAGCACCGGAUGUUAGCUCAGUGUGUGUGUGUCAUUUGACCCGUACUGGAUGUACUUGGGAGGAGUUUCGUCUUGCUGUUGUUGAGUGCAGACAUGAUUCUCUGUACUGAUGUAAGAGGCAGAAAUAAAUGAUGUAAAUAGUUUUCUGUCUGCUUCUUUCCCUCCCUGGGGACACCAAAGGGGAGAGAGGAAGAACGGUGUGUUCCUCUCAUACAUCUGAGAAGAAUCGCCGGACCUCGCCUGCUUAUCAGCAGAGUGGAGACGCGGGGAGGUCGACAGGAAUAUCUGCCGGUGCCUACGCUGUGGCACAUUCCUCUGACCCAGGCAGAAUUCCAACAGU
rnacentral:lncRNA from 1 species